GGUCUAAUAGUGUAGCGGUUAUCACAAUGGAUUCUGACAACAGCAUCGUCUCUCAGACUUCCAUUAACCCAGGUUCGAUUCCUGGUUAGACCU